rnacentral:rRNA from 1 species
GAUGAACGCUGGCGGCGUGCCUAAUACAUGCAAGUCGAGCGAACGGACGAGAAGCUUGCUUCUCUGAUGUUAGCGGCGGACGGGUGAGUAACACGUGGAUAACCUACCUAUAAGACUGGGAUAACUUCGGGAAACCGUAGCUAAUACCGGAUAAUAUUUUGAACCGCAUGGUUCAAAAGUGAAAGACGGUCUUGCUGUCACUUAUAGAUGUAUCCGCGCUGCAUUAGCUAGUUGGUAAGGUAACGGCUUACCAAGGCAACGAUGCAUAGCCGACCUGAGAGGUUGAUAGGCCACACUGGAACUGAGACACGGUCCAGACUCCUACGGGAGGAAGCAGUAGGGAAUCUUCCGCAAUAGGCGAAAGCCUGACGGAGCAACGCCGCGUGAGUGAUGAAGGUCUUCGGAUCGUAAAACUCUGUUAUUAGGGAAGAACAUAUGUGUAAGUAACUGUGCACAUCUUGACGGUACCUAAUGAGAAAGCCACGGCUAACUCCGUG